UACGGUCAUAGAAUCUCGAAAACGCCCUAUCCCGUCAGAUCUAGGCAGCUAAGCUGGAUAUCGCUUGGUUAGUACCAUCGUGGGGGACCAGAUGGGAAUCCCAAGUGCUGUAGUU